rnacentral:snRNA from 1 species
AUAUAUUUUAUAAAAAAUCUGUUCUUAUCAGUUUAAUAUCUGAUACGUCCCCCAUCGGGGGACUACAUAUUAAAUGGAUUUUUCGAACAGGGAGUCGGAAAUGGGGCUUGCUCCGUCCGCUCCACGCAUCGACCCGGUAUUGCAGUACCUCCGGGAACGGUGCAACACUU